CCAAGGCCCAAAGUGUUGUCUAUCCUGUUAUUUUAUUUAAGUGUCAACUCUCCCAGCCAUCCCUUUGCCUCUAACCCAAGGUGUGUUUUCCUAGAUAGGGACUCCUUUGAAGACCAGUUGAUAUGUAAAUAUGAUUGGUGCCUUUCAGGUGCUGUAUCUUUCCAGCUAUCUAAACAGAAACUCCCUUUGAAGAUGAUUCCUGACCUCCC